rnacentral:rRNA from 1 species
GUAGCAUAAUCACUUGUCUCUUAAAUGGGGACUAGUAUGAAUGGCAUCACGAGGGUUUAACUGUCUCUUAUUCCCAAUCAGUGAAAUUGACCUUCCCGUGCAGAGGCGGGAAUGCUGAUACAAGACGAGAAGACCCUGUGGAGCUUAAGACACAUAACUCAACACAUACCCAUUUCUAACCUACUGGGACAAAAAAUGUAUAAAGUUCUGAGUUAUAGUCUUUGGUUGGGGUGACCUCGGAGUACAAAAUAACCUCCGAAUGAAAUUAACCCAGAUUAACAAAUCUAAGUGUAUUAAUACCAGUAAUUGACCCAAUUAUUUGAUCAACGGAACAAGUUACCCCAGGGAUAACAGCGCAAUCCUAUUUGAGAGCCCAUAUCGAAAAUUAGGGUUUACGACCUCGAUGUUGGAUCAGGACAUCCAAAUGGUGCAGCAGCUAUUAAUGGUUCGUUUGUUCAACGAUUAAAGUCCUACGUGAUCUGAGUUCAGACCGGAGAAAUCCAGGUCGGUUUCUAUCUGUAUAUUAAUUUCUCCCAGUACGAAAGGACAAGAGAAAUGGGGCCAACGUCCCUAAUGAGCCCUAGAACUAACAUAUGAAUUCAUCUUAAUAUUCUAAUUCAAUAAAUAACCCCCCAAGAACAGGGCU